rnacentral:rRNA from 1 species
UACAGAGGUGGCAAGCGUUGUUCGGAAUUACUGGGCGCAAAGGGCGCGUAGGCGGCCCUCUUAGUCGGACGUGAAAUCCCCAGGCUCAACUUGGGAACUGCGUCCGAUACUGGAGGGCCCGAGUGCGGGAGAGGGAUGUGGAAUUCCAGGUGUAGCGGUGAAAUGCGUAGAUAUCUGGAGGAACACCGGUGGCGAAGGCGGCAUCCUGGACCGACACUGACGCUGAGGCGCGAAAGCUAGGGGAGCAAACGGG